rnacentral:rRNA from 1 species
AGCGAACGCUGGCGGCGUGCUUAACACAUGCAAGUCGAACGUGAAAAGGGGGCAACCCUGAGUAAAGUGGCGUACGGGUGAGUAACACGUAGGUAGUCUACCUGAAAGUUUGGAAUAACCUGUCGAAAGACGGGCUAAUACUGGAUAGAGCGACGGAAUCCGUAAGAGGAUUUUUCGGGAAAGGGAGCUUGAUAAGAGCCCUCGCUUUCAGAUGAGCAUGCGUCCCAUUAGCUAGUUGGCGGGGUAAUGGCCCACCAAGGCAGUGAUGGGUAGCUGGUCUGAGAGGAUGAUCAGCCACACUGGAGCUGAAACACGGUCCAGACUCCUACGGGAGGCAGCAGUGGGGAAUCUUGCGCAAUGGACGAAAGUCUGACGCAGCCACGCCGCGUGAGUGAAGAAGGCCUUCGGGUUGUAAAGCUCUGUCAUCGGGGACGAAGGGAGUGGGGUGAAUAGCCUAGCUUUUUGACGGUACCCGAGGAGGAAGCACCGGCUAACUCUGUGCCAGCAGCCGCCGUAA